GGCUACUUGUCGUCCUGGGAUGGGGGUAAAACUCCAUCCCAUGCUGUUCAACCCUUUGUCUUUUGCGUACUGUAUGUUUCCUCGGCGGGUUCGCCCGCCGAUAGGACACUUCAAAACCUUUUGUAAUUGCAAUCAGCGUCAGAAAAACUAUAAUAGUUACAACUUUCAACAACGGAUCUCUUGGUUCUGGCAUCGAUGAAGAACGCAGCGAAAUGCGAAAAGUAGUGUGAAUUGCAGAAUUCAGUGAAUCAUCGAAUCUUUGAACGCACAUUGCGCCCCUUGGUAUUCCAUGGGGCAUGCCUGUUCGAGCGUCAUUUGUACCCUCAAGCUCUGCUUGGUGUUGGGUGUUUGUCCCGCCUUCGCGCGUGGACUCGCCUUAAAGUGAUUGGCAGCCGGAAUAAUUCUGGGGAACGCAGCACAACUGCAGCCUCCAUUUUACGCCGAGCGUCCAGUAAGCCUUUUUUCAACGUUUGACCUCGGAUCAGGUAGGGAUACCCGCUGAACUUAAGCAUAUCAAUAAGGAAGAUGACAA
rnacentral:rRNA from 1 species